rnacentral:rRNA from 1 species
UAGGGAAUCUUCCACAAUGGACGCAAGUCUGAUGGAGCAACGCCGCGUGAGUGAAGAAGGUUUUCGGACCGUAAAGCUCUGUUGUUGGUGAAGAAGGAUAGAGGUAGUAACUGGCCUUUAUUUGACGGUAAUCAACCAGAAAGUCACGGCUAACUACGUGCCAGCAGCCGCGGUAAUACGUAGGUGGCAAGCGUUGUCCGGAUUUAUUGGGCGUAAAGCGAGCGCAGGCGGAAGAAUAAGUCUGAUGUGAAAGCCCUCGGCUUAACCGAGGAAUUGCAUCGGAAACUGUUUUCUU